GAAUGCCGUGUACCCUGCAGGGAUCAGAAGAAGAUCAGAGAGGCAGACCAGCCACAUGAGGAGCUGCAAUGAGUGGAUUCUAUACAUGUGCUCCUGAUGCCCUGGACAUACCCACUGCCAGGCCAGGAUCGCUGUUCAUAGUCUGCACAAUCUCCAUGCCCUGCAGAGAGAGUUGAAGGCCAUCUUAGAGGGUGGAGAAAGCUCAAGGAAGCCCAGAGCCUCCGGCAGCAUUGAGUACUUGUAUGUGCUGGCUCCUAGGAAGCCCUCCAGUGUUUUCCAUUCCUCUUCACAAUCCCUGGCCAGCAGACCCAAGAAGGAUCAGAUGUGCAUGCCUCAGGAAGAAUGGCAGAGAGGAGGGGGCGGCCCCUGCCUGAGAGAUGAAGAAACUGAGACUGCGUUGAGAAGUAGGAUUAAGUGCACUUGGCUGACACAUACUUUGCAGCAAGGACACUGAGCACAAGGACAGAAAUGGGACUUUAUGGCAGCUGUCCUUGCACAAGGUUGGGCUCAAGAACCACUGGGGACAGGGCCACCUCCAAGGGGUUGAGAAGGGAGGCCCUGCUUUGUCUUCCAGGGUCCUUUCCCUCUCUCAUCCCUGUCCUGCCGCCCCGACAAGCAUCCCUGAUGGAAAUGAAAGGGGACAGAGCCUAGGACCACAGGCGCCUCCAGGGCAGAGAUAAACUUGUCUGUGUUCUUGCUGAUGUUGCUACAGCAUCUGAUCCAGCCCUGUGUCUUAAUAUAGGACUACAUCGUGUGGGGCUAGACGGGUUGACAAAACUCAUUUGCACAGGACAAUACCACCAAUAAAGGGACACAAAACGAAAAAAUUCCAAGGACAAUGAAAUAACAGUGAUCUCUCAGCAAACUGACAGUUUCCUAUUUUGGGAUGAUGGUGAAGCUUCCCUGAGCUGAAAGACUAUAAUAAUAAAAGAGCUCAUACCUACUGAGUGCUAGCUAUGUAAGGGAAGCUGUGAUGUGCACUCUCCAUAAAUUAACUCCAUCUUCACAACAGACCUGGCUACGUGCCAUUGUCGUCCCCAUUUUUCAGAUGAGAAAACUGAGGCACAGAGAUUUGAUGACCUGCCUAAGGUUAGGUAGUUUGUAAGUGAAGGGGCUGGGAUUUAUCUAGCUGUGUAUCACCCAGAGCCCCUGUCUGAAGCAUGAUGCUCUAUUGCCUCUCCUGUGCUAGAAUCUCACUUGCUGGAGUGCCUCGUGGCCCCUCCUGACACUGUCACCUGGCUAUAGAGAACUUUCAAGGAAGUGCGGUGACCCUGGCCAGAGGCAGGGCUAUUGUCCCCCCAGUAGCUCUAUCUCUCUCAAUUUAUUCAGCAAGAUCCCAAAGCAAGGUAGCAGCAGAAAGCUCCAAAAGCUAAAAUUCCCUCUAAAUUUUUCAUUGGGCCUUAAUGCAGCUGGGAAAUGUGCCAUACCUGUCCUGAUUGGUGUCACAGGAGUCCCCAACCAGGUCGUUAUCCACAUCAGACUGCAAAGAGAACAGACCAUGUAAUUAUUUAUCCCUGGGCCUUCAUGCACAGAACGUUCCAGAGAAGGCAGAUCUGGCCCCUCACCACUGCAUCUCAGGAAGUCUCUCUGGAAUUGGGUUGGUGCAAAACUGCAAAAGGACAGCACCAUAUUGGUGUAGGCACAAUGCUGAAUUGUCAAAAAAGCCUUCCAAAAUAUCAAGCCACAUGGCUGGGCUGCCUACACACCAGAUGAGCUGAUUGGAAAGGGCGCCGGGGCAGGAUGGUGGCAGGUGGAGACGUGGAACUCUGGCACGGGUCUGAGGAGAGCCAGCCAAAGGCAUGGGGACAAGGCAAACUGAUUUGGCUUUGCUUCUGCAUGUUGGAAUUAAGCCAGAAUGGGAGUGAGUCACAGAGGGCAACAAUGACGCCCCUCUUUCAGGGCUUUAAAAAUACAUGACACAUCAUACCUAAUUAUCCAGACAGGAAGCGAGAAGGGAAACAACAUGGCGCUAACUGAACUUCAUCUGAAAUGUCCAGACAUAGGCUGUAUAGGGGCCUGGGGACUAAAAGGGCACAGGCUCCCAAAGGUUAGUUUCCAUGCUGUAUUUUCCUUCCAGCAAAAAGACUUGUUUUGGGCAUCAUUAAAUUCCUACUACUAAGGCACUCUACAGCCCAUGAGAUUAGCCCAGAGGGCCUUAGGUCUCGUGAAGCAUUCUUCCUACCACCUCCAGACCUAAGGUGUGCAAUUCUACCAUGUCUGCUCUGGUAGGUAAGUGCAACAGCAAGGAGCUGAGCCAGUGUGCUCUGCCGUUUUUCUAGGCACCGGUCUUAAAGAAUCUUCACAUAGGGGAGCUCAGCCUAGAGUAUGAGGCCCUCAAACGCUACUCACCUGGUUAGGGUUACUGACAUCAGGACAACUGUCACAGGCAUCCCCCACACCAUCACCAUCCCUGUCCCGUUGGUCACGAUUGGGAACUUUUGGGCAGUUGUCCAGAAUGUUUUUUAUUCCUACAAGAAAGGAAUGGUUCCCUGAGUCAGGUGAACACACAGAUCUAGAAGACAGGCUUCUGGGUGCUAAGAGAUCAAGCCUCUACCCAGGCCUGGGGUGAGUGACUUCUGUUGAACUGUCCUCCAAGAGCCACACUACCUUUCUCAGCACUCAUCUGGAUGUACCCUCAAAGGAUGGAUUCUGGGAGACUUAAAAAUGAACAGCAAUCUGAGGCAUUUCUCCAUGCAGUUAGAAGUUGUGCAAGAUGUCAAGGACUAUCAUGUAACCAGAUGAAAAGGUCAUGAGGGCUAGGUGGGCCAGCCCUGGAGAGGGAGGACCUUGGGACGAUGUGAAUAAAGACUGGGACCCAAGGGCUGGGCCCACCGUGCCCUCCCCUUCCCAACUGUUGUCUAUGUCCUGUCAUGCAAGCAGCCUGUAAUCAGUCAUGGUGGGAGUGGUAUUUAUAGCAUAGAAACUGGCAAAUGCUACAUCUUGGAGCUUUUUUUGGUUUGUUGAACUGGUUUACCAGCAUACCACUGGAUCUGAUCAUCAGUAGGGCUUGCAGAGGAUGAGGUCAUG